AGAAUCAACGCUGGCGGCGUGCCUAACACAUGCAAGUCGCACGAGAAAGGGACUUCGGUCCUGAGUACAGUGGCGCACGGGUGAGUAACACGUGAAUUAUCUACCUCCGAGUGGGGAAUAACUGAGAGAAAUCUUAGCUAAUACCGCAUAACACUUACGAGUCAAAGCAGCAAUGCGCUUGGAGAGGAGUUCGCGGCAGAUUAGUUAGUUGGCGGGGUAAUGGCCCACCAAGACGAUGAUCUGUAUCCGGCCUGAGAGGGCGCACGGACACACUGGAACUGAAACACGGUCCAGACUCCUACGGGAGGCAGCAGUGGGGAAUUUUGCGCAAUGGGGGAAACCCUGACGCAGCAACGCCGCGUGGAGGAUGAAAUAUCUUGGUAUGUAAACUCCUUUCGAUGGGGAAGAUAAUGACGGUACCCAUAGAAGAAGCCCCGGCUAACUUCGCGCCAGCAGCCGC
rnacentral:rRNA from 1 species